CCCUUAGAUGUUCUGGGCCGCACGCGCGCUACACUGAUGCAUUCAACGAGUCUAAAACCUGCUCUGAUAGGGGUGGGUAAUCUUUUGAAUGUGCAUCGUGAUUGGGAUAGAUGAUUGCAAUUUUUCAUCUUCAACGAGGAAUGCCUAGUAAACGCAAGUCAUCAGCUUGCAUUGAUUACGUCCCUGCCCUUUGUACACACCGCCCGUCGCUACUACCGAUUGGAUGGUUUAGCGAGAGCCUUGGAUUGGAGCCCAGGUGGUCGGCAACGGCCGCUCGGGAUUCCGAGAAAUUGUUCCAGCUGACUCAUCUAGAGGAAGUAAAAGUCGUAACA
rnacentral:rRNA from 1 species